rnacentral:rRNA from 1 species
CCUACGGGGGGCAGCAGUGGGGAAUAUUGCACAAUGGGGGAAACCCUGAUGCAGCAACGCCGCGUGAAGGAAGACGGUUUUCGGAUUGUAAACUUCUGUUCUUAGUGAAGAAUAAUGACGGUAGCUAAGGAGCAAGCCACGGCUAACUACGUGCCAGCAGCCGCGGUAAUACGUAGGUGGCAAGCGUUAUCCGGAUUUAUUGGGUUUAAAGGGUGCGUAGGCGGAAUGCCAAGUCAGCGGUAAAAUCGCGGGGCUCAACCUCGCUCCGCCGUUGAAACUGGCGUUCUUGAGUGGGCGAGAAGUAUGCGGAAUGCGUGGUGUAGCGGUGAAAUGCAUAGAUAUCACGCAGAACUCCGAUUGCGAAGGCAGCAUACCGGCGCCCAACUGACGCUGAAGCACGAAAGCGUGGGUAUCGAACAGGAUUAGAUACCCUGGUAGUC